AUGGUUUUAAAAAGAAGAAUUUUCCUGCCCAAGCUAUCUUCUCUUGUCUGCCACCAUGUGAGACGUGCCUUCACCUUCCACCAUGAUUGUGAGGCCUCCCUAGCCAUGUGGAACUGUCAUCCUCUUAUCCUUGUAUUCUGCGUGUAUAUUACUGGCUACAAGCCAACCAGCAGUGGAAACCUCCCGGAGUUCUCGAAGACCUGGCCUGUGGAGUUAAGCCGGGCUUGGUGGAUGCAGCCCAGAGUCUUGCUCUAUCACCAGGCUGGAGUGCACUGGCAGGAUCCCGGCUCAUUCCAACUUCCACUUUCGGAUUUCAAGCAAUUCUCCUGCCUCAGCCUCCGGAGUAGCUGGGACUACAGGCACGCACUACCACGCCUGGCUAAUUUUUUGUAGUUUUAGUGGAGACAGGGUUUCACCAUGUUGGCCAGGAUGGUCUGGAUCUCUUGACCUCGUGAUUUGCCUGCCUCGGCCUCCCAAAGUGCUGGGAUUACAGGCAUGAGCCACUGUGCCCGGCUGAUAAUAAGUAUCCUUAGUUCCAUCUUCAAUGUCUCUUGACAGCAGUAUUUAGGUGAGUGUUUGAUUGAAUAACCAGGGACUAGAAUCGUGUCUUUAGAAUUCUGCCUGCCACAGGUGCUAUCACCUUAUACAUUGUUUUGUGUUGUUUUCCCUUUUUGUAUUUUGUUUCACAAGUAACUAUGGCUAAAAAAUUGUGGAGAUAUACAAACUGGUGCUUUCCUGUGAUAUUUGAAAGAUACUUACUAAAGGUACUUAACCUUUUUUUUGUGAAAAAAAUAUAAAAGUGUUUUUUUCUUAGCUGAAAUAAUUUGUAUUUUCAUCAUGUAUAAGGAUAGUAAAAAUGUAGGUAUGAAAAAGUAAAUUCUUGAACUUGCUGCUUUUUUCUUUGGAAGGGAGGAAGGGGAGGAAGGCAGGAAGGGAGGAAAGGAGGAGGAAGAGAGGAAG
rnacentral:lncRNA from 13 species